GGUCUGUCGGGAGGCGACGUGGAGGCAGGGAGAGUUUAAUUAGAGAGGAGUAGCAGCAGAAGGAGGAGGAGAGGUGAAGAGGAUGGUGUUGUUUCUGACAGACCAGUCUCUGACCUCCUCCUUCAGCUCAGAGAAUGAGUCCCAGGGGGGACGCCCUGCAGGGUGCCACCUGGGCCAUGGGGGCCAGAGGGGUCACGGGGGUCAUCGCCCCCAGCCCAGGUCAAGAUCCAGGUCUCCCUUGCGAUUGGCCAGCCAAAGCCCCUCCCCUUCCGCCUCCAAGAGAUGGAGCCCAAAGCCCGCCCACAUGCGGCGAAACAUCAGGAAGCUGCUCAGGGACCACCAGCUGGAGGCAGGUACCAAGGUGGCCCAGCAGGAGGAGCUAGAGAGGAAACAUCGCCUGAGACACAGAGGAAGCAGGACAGCCCUGAACCCCUGCUACCGCAAUGCACAAGUGGUAAGAGAGACACACACACAUGCACAUGCACACACACUCACAUGCAC
ensembl:lncRNA